CUUCUUCAAACACUUGACCUGAUAAUCCUUCAUAUCUAUUUAGGAUAUUAAAUUCAUUAUUUUUAUUAUAAAAUAAAUUCACAUGCCAAUUAGUAUGAAAGUAACAAUCUACAAUUGUGACACAUACAGAGAAAAAAAUAAAUUACACAUUUGAAUCAUUUUGUGUAGUUUACAUUUAACAAGAUCAGGAGUGGAAACCUACUGCACUCCGGCUGCUAUCGAACUACGGUUCCAUGACUCAAGCAAGCUGAUAUUACACAUCAAGGGAAUAGUUCAAAAGAAGUGUCUUAGCUCAGGUAUAUCUAAUCUGAAUUGACCUGAGUUUAAAACUGAACAUGCGUCCUAACAAGGCUUCAUAUAAUGUUAUGAUGAGUAGAUUUGUUCUGACCAAAAGGAAAAUCUAUCCACGAAUGAUAACGGUCCACAAGACUAUUGUCCAUUUAUAAAAAUGUAUAAACAUGUUAAAGAAUAAGAAAAACAAGGUAGCAAGUAUACUGUGUGUAUUCUUGCAACCUGUGUGUUUGUUUAGUAUUAAAUGAUAGAAAAUUCUGCGCAUAUGAUGAUAUUUGCUCAAAAACAGCAGCUGUGCAUUCUGUGCUCGAUGACAUGUUAAUUGACUAAAAAGCGCACAUUGUAUUUAUCUAAAGACAGAAGAUAUUUACUCUCCUAAUAGAACUUCGGAAUUAGAUAACCUGCUCCAUCUAGGUAGUGUCUAAUACGAUUUGCAUCAUUUCCAGAUGUGGUGCUUGCUCCAUAGUGCAUACUGAUGGGAACAAAAGCAAAAAGUAAACUACUUCAUUUAUUCUAGUGCUGCUUUGUCUUAGUAACUUUACAUUCAUCUUACCUACAAACACCAUCCUCUAACUUUACAGUUGUACAAGGCAAUUGUUAAUUACAUAGAAUAGAGAAAGAGGUUGCCAACGUUUUUUGAGCUUGGUGUAUUUUCCAUAUCUGUUCUUGUACCAUACCUGGCUUAUAUUAAAUAAAAUGACAAAUUAGCAAUUCUUAAAUGUUUCAGUUUCUUAUAUCACAGUUCAUUUCAUG